rnacentral:rRNA from 1 species
AUUGAACGCUGGCGGCAGGCCUAACACAUGCAAGUCGAGCGGAUGAAGGGAGCUUGCUCCUGGCUUCAGCGGCGGACGGGUGAGUAAUGCCUAGGAAUCUGCCUGGUAGUGGGGGAUAACGUCCGGAAACGGGCGCUAAUACCGCAUACGUCCUGAGGGAGAAAGUGGGGGAUCUUCGGACCUCACGCUAUCAGAUGAGCCUAGGUCGGAUUAGCUAGUUGGUGGGGUAAAGGCCUACCAAGGCACCGAUCCGUAACUGGUCUGAGAGGAUGAUCAGUCACACUGGAACUGAGACACGGUCCAGACUCCUACGGGAGGCAGCAGUGGGGAAUACUGGACAAUGGGCGAAAGCCUGAUCCAGCCAUGCCGCGUGUGUGAAGAAGGUCUUCGGAUUGUAAAGCACUUUAAGUUGGGAGGAAGGGCAGUAAGUUAAUACCUUGCUGUUUUGACGCUACCAACAGAAUAAGCACCGGCUAACUUCGUG